AACAGGGAUUGCCCUAGUAACGGCGAGUGAAGCGGCAACAGCUCAAAUUUGAAAUCUGGCCCUUUCAGGGUCCGAGUUGUAAUUUGUAGAGGGCGCUUUGGUGUUGGCUGCGGUCUAAGUUCCUUGGAACAGGACGUCACAGAGGGUGAGAAUCCCGUACGUGGUCGACAGUCUUCACCGUGUAAAGCCCCUUCGACGAGUCGAGUUGUUUGGGAAUGCAGCUCUAAAUGGGAGGUAAAUUUCUUCUAAAGCUAAAUAUUGGCCAGAGACCGAUAGCGCACAAGUAGAGUGAUCGAAAGAUGAAAAGCACUUUGGAAAGAGAGUCAAAAAGCACGUGAAAUUGUUGAAAGGGAAGCGCUUGCAACCAGACUUGCCUGUAGUUGCUCAUCCAGUCUUCUGACCGGUGCACUCUUCUGUAGGCAGGCCAGCAUCAGUUCGGGCGGCUAGAUAAAGACCUCUAUCACGUAUCUUCCUUCGGGAUGACCUUAUAGGGGAGGUGUAAUGUAGCCAGCCUGGAUUGAGGUCCGCGCAUCUGCUAGGAUGCUGGCGUAAUGGUUGUAAGCGGCCCGUCUUGAAACACGGACCAAGGAGUCUAACAUCUAUGCGAGUAUUUGGGUGUAAAGCCCGGAUGCGCAAUGAAAGUGAACGGAGGUGGGAACCCUUACGGGUGCACCAUCGACCGAUCCUGAUGUCUUCGGAUGGAUUUGAGUAAGAGCAUAGCUGUUGGGACCCGAAAGAUGGUGAACUAUGCCUGAAUAGGGUGAAGCCAGAGGAAACUCUGGUGGAGGCUCGCAGCGGUUCUGACGUGCAAAUCGAUCGUCAAAUUUGGGCAUAGGGGCGAAAGACUAAUCGAAC
rnacentral:rRNA from 1 species